AUGACCAUCCAUCAUUCACUACACCCUCGCAGUGAUGUUGACCGGCUCUAUCUGCCUAGAAGAUCAGGGGGCAGAGGACUCUUACAAAUAAAACAAGCAGUCAAAGAAGAAGAACAUGCCCUGGCAGAAGAUGUAAAGCAAAGUGAAGAACCUGCUUUGAUUGAAGUCAAAAAUCAGAAACUCCUCAAAGCACAACAGACAAAAAACCAGUACAAGAAAACCACACUACAAACUAGAGCUGACAGCUGGUACAACAAAACAUUGCAUGGAAAGAUCCUUGACAAAAUUGAAGGAAAAGCUGAUGAGGAGAAGACCUGGCUCUGGCUCACGAAUGGGACCCUGAAGAAGGAGACAGAAGGCCUGAUCCUUGCAGCCCAGGAGCAAGACAUCAGAACAAAUGCAGUUAAGGCCAAGAUCGAAAAAUCAGCUGAUGACUCAAAAUGCAGACUGUGCAAGGAAACCGACGAAACCAUGGAUCAUAUCCUCAGCUGCUGUAAGAAAAUUGCACAGACAGACUACAAACAGAGACACAACUAUGUGGCCCAAAUGAUUCACUGGAACUUAUGCCUCAAGUACCACCUCCCAGCAGCAAAGAACUGGUGGGAUCACAAACCUGCAAAAGUAUUGGAAAAUGAGCACGCAAAGAUACUGUGGGACUUCCGAAUGCAGACUGACAAAGUUCUGGAACACAACACACCAGACAUCACAGUUGUGGAAAAGAAAAAGGUUUGGAUCAUUGAUGUUGCCAUCCCAAGUGACAGUCGCAUUGACGAAAAACAACAGGAAAAACUCAGACGCUAUCAGGACCUCAAGAUUGAACUUCAAAGACUCUGGCAGAAACCAGUGAAGGUGGUCCCAGGGGUGAUGGGCAUACUGGGUGCCGUGCCAAAAGAUCUCAGUCGGCAUUUGGAAACAAUAGACAUUGACAAAAUUACGAUCUGCCAACUGCAAAAGGCCACCCUACUGAGAUCUGCACGCAUCAUCCGAAAAUACAUCACACAGUCCUAG
rnacentral:lncRNA from 1 species